AGAUGGCGACCGGCACACGGGUGAGUAACACGUAUCCAACCUGCCGAUAACUCGGGGAUAGCCUUUCGAAAGAAAGAUUAAUACCCGAUGGUAUAAUCAGACCGCAUGGUCUUGUUAUUAAAGAAUUUCGGUUAUCGAUGGGGAUGCGUUCCAUUAGGCAGUUGGUGAGGUAACGGCUCACCAAACCUUCGAUGGAUAGGGGUUCUGAGAGGAAGGUCCCCCACAUUGGAACUGAGACACGGUCCAA
rnacentral:rRNA from 1 species